rnacentral:rRNA from 1 species
ACGCUCGACACCUACGGGAGCAGCAGUAGGGAAUCUUCCACAAUGGGCGCAAGCCUGAUGGAGCAACACCGCGUGAGUGAAGAAGGGUUUCGGCUCGUAAAGCUCUGUUGUUGGAGAAGAACGUGCGUGAGAGUAACUGUUCACGCAGUGACGGUAUCCAACCAGAAAGUCACGGCUAACUACGUGCCAGCAGCCGCAAGUAAUCUGAGGCCGGGCGUGGACGAAGGC